rnacentral:rRNA from 1 species
GCAGUCGAACGAACUCUGGUAUUGAUUGGUGCUUGCAUCAUGAUUUACAUUUGAGUGAGUGGCGAACUGGUGAGUAACACGUGGGAAACCUGCCCAGAAGCGGGGGAUAACACCUGGAAACAGAUGCUAAUACCGCAUAACAACUUGGACCGCAUGGUCCGAGUUUGAAAGAUGGCUUCGGCUAUCACUUUUGGAUGGUCCCGCGGCGUAUUAGCUAGAUGGUGGGGUAACGGCUCACCAUGGCAAUGAUACGUAGCCGACCUGAGAGGGUAAUCGGCCACAUUGGGACUGAGACACGGCCCAAACUCCUACGGGAGGCAGCAGUAGGGAAUCUUCCACAAUGGACGAAAGUCUGAUGGAGCAACGCCGCGUGAGUGAAGAAGGGUUUCGGCUCGUAAAACUCUGUUGUUAAAGAAGAACAUAUCUGAGAGUAACUGUUCAGGUAUUGACGGUAUUUAACCAGAAAGCCACGGCUAACUACGUGCCAGCAGCCGCGGUAAUACGUAGGUGGCAAGCGUUGUCCGGAUUUAUUGGGCGUAAAGCGAGCGCAGGCGGUUUUUUAAGUCUGAUGUGAAAGCCUUCGGCUCAACCGAAGAAGUGCAUCGGAAACUGGGAAACUUGAGUGCAGAAGAGGACAGUGGAACUCCAUGUGUAGCGGUGAAAUGCGUAGAUAUAUGGAAGAACACCAGUGGCGAAGGCGGCUGUCUGGUCUGUAACUGACGCUGAGGCUCGAAAGUAUGGGUAGCAAACAGGAUUAGAUACCCUGGUAGUCCAUACCGUAAACGAUGAAUGCUAAGUGUUGGAGGGUUUCCGCCCUUCAGUGCUGCAGCUAACGCAUUAAGCAUUCCGCCUGGGGAGUACGGCCGCAAGGCUGAAACUCAAAGGAAUUGACGGGGGCCCGCACAAGCGGUGGAGCAUGUGGUUUAAUUCGAAGCUACGCGAAGAACCUUACCAGGUCUUGACAUACUAUGCAAAUCUAAGAGAUUAGACGUUCCCUUCGGGGACAUGGAUACAGGUGGUGCAUGGUUGUCGUCAGCUCGUGUCGUGAGAUGUUGGGUUAAGUCCCGCAACGAGCGCAACCCUUAUUAUCAGUUGCCAGCAUUAAGUUGGGCACUCUGGUGAGACUGCCGGUGACAAACCGGAGGAAGGUGGGGAUGACGUCAAAUCAUCAUGCCCCUUAUGACCUGGGCUACACACGUGCUACAAUGGAUGGUACAACGAGUUGCGAACUCGCGAGAGUAAGCUAAUCUCUUAAAGCCAUUCUCAGUUCGGAUUGUAGGCUGCAACUCGCCUACAUGAAGUCGGAAUCGCUAGUAAUCGCGGAUCAGCAUGCCGCGGUGAAUACGUUCCCGGGCCUUGUACACACCGCCCGUCACACCAUGAGAGUUUGUAACACCCAAAGUCGGUGGGGUAACCUUUUAGGAACCAGCCGC